rnacentral:rRNA from 1 species
UACGUAGGCGGCAAGCGUUGUCCGGAAUUAUUGGGCGUAAAGGGAGCGCAGGCGGGAAACUAAGCGGAUCUUAAAAGUGCGGGGCUCAACCCCGUGAUGGGGUCCGAACUGGUUUUCUUGAGUGCAGGAGAGGAAAGCGGAAUUCCCAGUGUAGCGGUGAAAUGCGUAGAUAUUGGGAAGAACACCAGUGGCGAAGGCGGCUUUCUGGACUGUAACUGACGCUGAGGCUCGAAAGCUAGGGUAGCAAACGGG